rnacentral:lncRNA from 1 species
ACAUGUUUGUUGAUAUAUCUAUACAUCUUGUUUGGUUCUAUGAUUGCUUAGAAUAGGUUGCAAAACCUAGACUGGUAAAUGAACCUGGAACUGGAGCUAAAACUUGAAAAAUAGGGUCACUUCGUGCUUUUGGCAAACAAACCCCUCAGCCAAAAAGCCCUGCAUGUCUAGAAGGAGGAGUAGUUUUUACUCCUAUCGGUUAAGUCUUGUUGAGCUUAGUAGCUCAGCCUUGUUGUGGCUCCUAUUUUUCAGGUGAAGUUGCUACUCCCGACCCCUCUCUUGUUGGCGCUUGGCCG